rnacentral:rRNA from 1 species
GUGGGGAAUCUUGCGCAAUGGGCGAAAGCCUGACGCAGCCAUGCCGCGUGAAUGAUGAAGGUCUUAGGAUUGUAAAAUUCUUUCACCGGGGACGAUAAUGACGGUACCCGGAGAAGAAGCCCCGGCUAACUUCGUGCCAGCAGCCGCGGUAAUACGAAGGGGGCUAGCGUUGCUCGGAAUUACUGGGCGUAAAGGGAGCGUAGGCGGAUAGUUUAGUCAGAGGUGAAAGCCCAGGGCUCAACCUUGGAAUUGCCUUUGAUACUGGCUGUCUUGAGUACGGGAGAGGUGAGUGGAACUCCGGGUGUAGAGGUGAAAUUCGUAGAUAUUCGGAAGAACACCAGUGGCGAAGGCGACUCACUGGCCCGUUACUGACGCUGAGGCGCGAAAGCGUGGGGAGCAAACAGGAUUAGAAACCCGAGUAGUCC